GGGUCAGUAGGUUGGUCGUGCCACCGGUACGUACUGGUCUCACUGAUUCCUCCUUCCUGAAGAACCGUAAUGCCUUUAAUUUGGUGUUGCGGGGAAACAGGACUGUUACUUUGAAAAAAUUAGAGUGUUUAGAGCAAGCUAACGCUUGAAUACAUUAGCAUGGAAUAAUGAAAUAGGACGAUCGAUCCUAUUUUGUUGGUUUCUAGGAUUGACGUA
rnacentral:rRNA from 1 species